rnacentral:rRNA from 1 species
GGGGAAUAUUGCACAAUGGGGGAAACCCUGAUGCAGCCAUGCCGCGUGUGUGAAGAAGGCCUUCGGGUUGUAAAGCACUUUCAGCGAGGAGGAAAGGUUGGUAGCGAAUAACUGCCAGCUGUGACGUUACUCGCAGAAGAAGCACCGGCUAACUCCGUGCCAGCAGCCGCGGUAAUACGGAGGGUGCAAGCGUUAAUCGGAAUUACUGGGCGUAAAGCGCACGCAGGCGGUUGGAUAAGUUAGAUGUGAAAGCCCCGGGCUCAACCUGGGAAUUGCAUUUAAAACUGUCCAGCUAGAGUCUUGUAGAGGGGGGUAGAAUUCCAGGUGUAGCGGUGAAAUGCGUAGAGAUCUGGAGGAAUACCGGUGGCGAAGGCGGCCCCCUGGACAAAGACUGACGCUCAGGUGCGAAAGCGUGGGGAGCAAAC